rnacentral:rRNA from 1 species
AGAGUUUGAUCCUGGCUCAGAGUGAACGCUGGCGGCGUGCUUAACACAUGCAAGUCGAACGAGAACGGGUUAUAGCUUGCUAUAACUGUCAGCUAAGUGGCGCACGGGUGAGUAAUAUAUAGGUAACAUGCCCCAAAGAAGAGGAUAACGUUUGGAAACGAACGCUAAUACUCUAUAUGCCUUUAAGUCAUAAGACUGCAAGGGAAAUAUUUAUAGCUUUGGGAUUGGCCUGUACGGUAUCAGCUUGUUGGUGAGGUAAUGGCUCACCAAGGCAAUGACGCCUAACUGGUUUGAGAGGAUGAUCAGUCACACUGGAACUGAGACACGGUCCAGACUCCUACGGGAGGCAGCAGUGGGGAAUAUUGCACAAUGGACGAAAGUCUGAUGCAGCAACGCCGCGUGGAGGAUGACACAUUUCGGUGCGUAAACUCCUUUUAUAUAGGAAGAUAAUGACGGUACUAUAUGAAUAAGCACCGGCUAACUCCGUGCCAGCAGCCGCGGUAAUACGGAGGGUGCAAGCGUUACUCGGAAUCACUGGGCGUAAAGAGAAUGUAGGCGGGUUAAUAAGUUGGAAGUGAAAUCCUAUGGCUCAACCAUAGAACUGCUUUCAAAACUGUAAGUCUUGAAUAUGCGAGGGGUAGACGGAAUUUCUGGUGUAGCGGUGGAAUGCGUAGAUAUCAGAAAGAACACCGGUGGCGAAGGCGGUCUACUGGCGCAAUAUUGACGCUGAGGUACGAAAGCGUGGGGAGCGAACAGGAUUAGAUACCCUGGUAGUCCACGCCGUAAACGAUGGACACUAGUUGGUGGGAGGCAUGACUUUUCACUGACGCAGCUAACGCAUUAAGUGUCCCGCCUGGGGAGUACGUCCGCAAGGAUGAAACCCAAAGGAAUUGACGGGGGCCCGCACAAGCGGUGGAGCAUGUGCUUUAAUUCGAUGCAACGCGAAGAACCUUACCUGGCCUUGACAUACCAUUGACCGCUAUAGAGAUAUAGUUUUUUCUUCGGAAACAGUGGAUACAGGUGCUGCAUGGUUGUCGUCAGCUCGUGUCGUGAGAUGUUGGGUUAAGUCCCGCAACGAGCGCAACCCAUGUCCUUAGUUGCUAACAGGUUAAGCUGAGAACUCUAGGGAGACUGCCGUCGUAAGGCGGAGGAAGGUGUGGAUGACGUCAAAUCAUCAUGGCCCUUACGGCCAGGGCUAGACACGUGCUACAAUGGACGGUACAAAGGGUUGCUACCUAGCGAUAGGAUGCUAAUCUCAAAAAACCGUUCUCAGUUCGGAUAGUAGUCUGCAACUCGACUACUUGAAGUUGGAAUCGCUAGUAAUCGUGGGUCAGCAUACCACGGUGAAUACGUUCCUGGGCCUUGUACACACCGCCCGUCAAGCCACGGAAGUUGGUUGUGCCCAAAAUCGUUUCGUUAAC